AUUUAAUCACACUCAGAACUAGCUCUGACACUAAUAUCCAGUAAACCAUGUUCUAGCUUUCAGAGUGGAAUGUGUUUCCUUCCCUGUAGGAGCAGGCAGUGCCGGGGAAACCUGUUUGUGUCUGAAAUCCUCUCCACUCAUGGACAGUAUGAAGAGCAGAAUCAAGCUAAGCACUGAGAUUUUGAGAAAAAGUGAAUUCACCUCAGUGAAGAAUCAGAAGAUGAAGAGGGAAGUCUCACACCAAUGAUGAGGGCUAAUUGGUGUCCUUAUAAGAUAUUAUUUACAGGGGUGCAGUCUGUUGAGCCUGAAUACAUCUUAAAACAUCAAGUCUUUUGAGAUGUAUGCUUCAUCAAAAAUGUUUGAUCCUUAGAGUUGCUGCCUUAUAAAUGAAUGCUAACAUAAACAUGUAUGGGGAGAUGGAAUGAUAGAUACUUAUACAUCUGAACCCGUUACCAGAUGCAGUUCUCAAAGAAUAUGGUGCUAUCUAUAUUGCCAUGCAUGUGAAUUAUUCAGAGGCUGUGUUCUAAAUUAAUCCACUCCAAAGCUCAAAACUGAGUACCCAAAAGUGAACAUUUAAAAAUCUCAUGUGUAUUACAUAGUUCAUAAUUGCAUUGAUCAUGAACACCACAGGCUUUCAGAGAGACCACGGGAUCUGAUUUAAGUCAGCACAGCUAGUACUGCUGGGUCCAUGGCAUAUAAUUUAAGUCUACAGUGGUGUGUACUGCAGUGUGGAACUCCACAGCAUAUCCAAGAGUAGAUUUUAUUAAACAUCUCACCAGGGACCCCUAAGAAUGUAAGCUUACUCUUACAUAUAGCCCAGGACCAGCAUGAUAACAGUGAGAAAACAUGGAUGCAGGUCAUGCUAUGAUUAGCAGAGCACCCAAAACUUUAAAAAUCAUUUUACAGAUAGAUUUGCUUGAGCAGAUAUUACAAAAUAUGACUGCUUCUAUGUUCAUGUUACUCAGCAUGCUUCUGGCUUCAGAAAAUAUAAAAAGUAUAUAUGUGAAUGAAAAUAAUACAUUGUUAUUAUUAUUUUUAUUGUUACCAGCUAACAAGAACUCUAAACACCUGGUUUAUAGUCCAACGCUACCACAAAAUUUCUGUGUGUCUGCAUAUCUAUCUAUCUAUCUUUCUAUCAUCUACCUAU
rnacentral:lncRNA from 1 species